AUUAAAUAGCUGCAGUAUUUAUAACUGUACCAAGGUAGCAUAAUAAUUAGUUUAUUAAUUAUAAACUUGUAUGAAAGAUUUCAUGAAAUAAAAACUGUCUCAAUUUAAAAAAAAUAAAAUUUUUCUUUAAGUAAAAAAACUUAAAUAAUAUUAAAAGACGAGAAGACCCUAUAGAAUUUUAUAUUUAAUUGGGGAGAUUGUAAAAUUUAAUAAACUUUUAUAUAAAAAAUCAUUUAUUUAUGAAUAAAAUAUAUUACAUUAAAAAAGUAUAAUAAAUUACCUUAGGGAUAACAGCAUAA
rnacentral:rRNA from 1 species